rnacentral:rRNA from 1 species
AAUAGAUACCCAGGUAGUCCACGCCGUAAACGAUGUCGACUUGGAGGUUGUGCCCUUGAGGCGUGGCUUCCGGAGCUAACGCGUUAAGUCGACCGCCUGGGGAGUACGGCCGCAAGGUUAAAACUCAAAUGAAUUGACGGGGGCCCGCACAAGCGGUGGAGCAUGUGGUUUAAUUCGAUGCAACGCGAAGAACCUUACCUACUCUUGACAUCCAGAGAACUUGGCAGAGAUGCUUUGGUGCCUUCGGGAACUCUGAGACAGGUGCUGCAUGGCUGUCGUCAGCUCGUGUUGUGAAAUGUUGGGUUAAGUCCCGCAACGAGCGCAACCCUUAUCCUUUGUUGCCAGCGGUUAGGCCGGGAACUCAAAGGAGACUGCCAGUGAUAAACUGGAGGAAGGUGGGGAUGACGUCAAGUCAUCAUGGCCCUUACGAGUAGGGCUACACACGUGCUACAAUGGCAUAUACAAAGAGAAGCGACCUCGCGAGAGCAAGCGGACCUCAUAAAGUAUGUCGUAGUCCGGA